UGUACUUUAUUACAAGUACUAAUAUUUUUUUCUCCACUAUAACCGAAGCCGAUAAUGUGGUCCUUGAACAUUGUAGCAUUUUUUCUGGUAGCAUGAGGACGGUCACCACAGGCGACCCAUUACUUGCCGCACUUCAUUCAAAUCGACCUGAAAACACAGCAAUUAAACCUCAAAAUCACAAUCUCAAUCUCAUAAACGCAACAUCAACCUUGUGGCGCCGUCGUUGGACUGCCUUUGCAAGCGGCUCAAAACCUCCGAUUCCCGUUUCUAACAACACUGACAUCAGGGACUCGACGGAACAGAUAUGGCUAACAUGUUUUUAUUUCUCGUGGAAAUGGUUUUCUAGACUUGUUUCCUGUUACUUGUUAUUAUCUCUUAAUCUGGUUGCUGUGGCCUCUGAAUAUCCAAUACCCUCUACUUAUGCCUGUGAGGACAUUACCAAUUACUAUUCCCCUGUGAAGCAUUUGAGAUUAAAAGGUGAAGCACUCAAGAGAAAAUUGAAUAGUAUCAUUGCUCCACAUCGUUCAUUGUCCUACCAAGAGGUGUGGGAUGCUCUCAAAAUUCUUGAUGCUGCUGAUAUUGAUAAUCCGGAAGCUUCAUUGGGAAUAGUUGAAAUAUAUUCUCUGAGAGUUGUUUCGAAGGGGUUAUCUGGAAAACCACAAGGAUGGAAUAGGGAGCAUCUUUGGCCUCGUUCUUAUGGGCUGACAACUGUUCCAUCUUUGACUGAUUUACAAAACAUUCGCCCUGCUGACGUUAAUGUGAAUUCAUCAAGGGGAAACAAGUACUAUGGGGAAUGCAUAACUAGCUCGCCCAAAUGUUUGAGGCCAGCCAACAAAGAAGCUGCUUCGGACACGGAAGCAGACAAGAGGAUCUGGGCACCACCUAAGCAGGUUAGGGGAGAUAUUGCAAGAGCGUUAAUGUACAUGGCAGUCUGUUAUGGGUUUCAACAACCAGGGGGAAGUCCUGCUCUUCGUCUUUCGGACACUCCAAAUGUUGAAAACAGAGAGAUGGGACUGCUUUCGACAUUAUUAGAAUGGAAUGAAGUCGAUCCACCUUCAAGGGAAGAGAAACUGAGAAAUGAAAGGAUAUGCAAAUUUUAUCAGCAUAAUCGGAAUCCUUUUGUUGAUCAUCCGGAGUAUGCCAAACUUAUAUGGAAGAGUGUCAUUUCAAGACGUACUCCUCAUAAUAAUAGUGAUGAUAAAGGAAAAGAAUUAGGACGAGUGUCUCAACCACCUCACUUGUAAUAGUUCUAAAUGGUGGUCGAUGAUGAUAGCCUUAUAAAAUUUUCAACUGAUCAUUAGCUUUGUCAGCCCGCGAAGCAGGCUUGUCAAAAAGAUGAUAGAUAUGAUUAAUGAAAGAUAGAGGAAGAUAAAAAGAGGAGUAUUAACAUCAAAUAAUGCCUUCAUAAGGUUGUAGAUGAGCACUUCACAUUAGCUGUGAAAAUGUUGGGAUCAUCUGAAGUGAUCUACUUCGAUGGAGUUAUAAUGAAGCAUAAUAAAUGCAUUGUGUGGAGAAGGUUCCGCUGUGACUAGAGAUCUUUUUUGUGCACUUACCAUAGUUAGUCUAUGGAUAGGAGAAAGAUGCCUGAUGAAUUUGGUAGAGUUGUAGCUACUGCAUCAUUAACAUCAUUAUUAAAGUCUGACGGUGGAAUAUGCCAUAUUGUUGUUUGUUCCAUUUAGAGGUGUAUGACAUCAAAAGUUUUUAUAAAAAAAAGUCAAUAAAGAUGUUGCAAAAUA